rnacentral:rRNA from 1 species
GGGAGGCAGCAGUGGGGAAUAUUGCACAAUGGACGAAAGUCUGAUGCAGCAACGCCGCGUGGAGGAUGACACAUUUCGGUGCGUAAACUCCUUUUAUAUGGGAAGAUAAUGACGGUACCAUAUGAAUAAGCACCGGCUAACUCCGUGCCAGCAGCCGCGGUAAU